UAAAUAAAGAGGUAAACUGACGCAAGAUCAGAUUAUCAGAGAUCGAGUUUACCGGGGAGGAGCAGAGGAAUUGCAAUCGGCCAACUCACGCUUUACCAAGCUACAGUCGAGUCCCUUAAGUCUUUAGCACCGACGGUAUUUAUGCGCCAGGGGUACAAAGAGGAGGAAGUCCAGCCAGAGACCAAGCAGUAUAUGAUUGAAGAACAUAAACUAUGAAUAUUAAUCUGAUACCCUGAUACCCGGAUGAUAGGAAAUUGGAAGGACUUACGGCCCGACGUUAAAGGAAAUAGGCAAUUGAAACUGCGGAAAGGAAAAUUUGUUCUGAGAAAGGUGUGCAUAUAUAUGAAUUGGUACACAGAAGAAUGAAAAGAAUAUUCUAGCUAUGAGGACUGGCAAUAUGAAAAAAAUGAG
rnacentral:lncRNA from 1 species